GAAGAGGUAGUUUAUUUGAGAAUACUGUUUUUGUAAAACAGGGGUAUUGUUAGGAUUCUUUUCA
rnacentral:tRNA from 1 species